AUGGGUGGUUAACUGUGCCAGGACAUCACCACCUGCCCACACUCUUGACCACAGGUGUAGUUUAGUAAAUUGUUGACAGGGCAGGUUUUUGCUUAACAAAGCCGUUUGCUAUAAGAAGCCUGAUAAUGAAGGUACUCAUUUUGGCACCCCUUUGUGCUGCUAACUCAGUCUUUUCGGAAGGGGAAAGAGAAGCAUUUAAGACAGUUUUGAUGCUCCACAGAGCAGCAUUAAUGAAAACUGAAGGCCAGAGGGAGGGAAGAGAAAUUACUAUCUCCUCAGGAAGGAAUUCAGCAGACUUCUCACCAGGAGUUCAUCUGGAUGUGUGAGAGAACCUUACCAAUGAAGAGGGACUUCUAUAAAACAUCCUGAUAGCAAAGAAGUGAAAGAAUCACCAGAGGGGAGAACCCUUAUAGGCCUUGAGGCAGCAGUGCCACCUUUCUUGGUGACUUGAUUUGAGGCUCUGAGUCAAAUCAGUGAUCCAGAAGAGCUCAGAGAGGAGACAUUUUCCCUCCCUCAAAGCAGUGAUAUUGGAAAAAGAUGUGGCCCUCUGCAGCUGUCAUGGCCUUUGAUAUCCAGCUACAUGUUGUUUCCAUAUUGCAUAGUGAACUGUGAGACCAGAUGAUCUCCAUAAAUAAUGCAGUCUUGCGAUUUCCUCAAUUACUAUUCCAACAAAAACUUCCAAAGGGUCGAUGCACCAGGGAGCACUCUGUGAGCACAUGGGGACACCACA